GGCUGGGCUCGAACUCCUGAGCUCAAGUGAGCCACCACACCUGGCCUUUUUUUUUUAAUUCUUAAGAAAAGCAGUGUGCCAGGGCCUGCCCUUGCACUUAGAGUGGACCAGGAGGUGCUCCCUUGCUGGGUCUCACUCCAGCCGCGCUUUGCUCCUCUCUGUUCUUGCACUUGCCUCAGUGGCCUCUGCAGCAGAGCCUCAUGCUGGCUCUUCCCUCUGCUUGGGAUGCCCCUGUUAUUUUUCCCUGCAGUCUUGGAGGGCUGGCUCAUUGGUCAUUAUUCACAUGUCAUCUCUGUCCCACCUCGUAGACUGCUGACUCCCCCCGUGGCAUCCUACUUCCGUCGUGUCCUGCAGGUUUGCUUUCUACCUUUGCCUCUUUUUUUUUUCUUGAGACAGAGUCUCUCUGUGUUGCUCAGGCUACAGUGCAGUGGCACAAUGUCAACUCACUGCAACCUCCACCUCCCAGGUUCAGGCGAUUCUCCUGCCUCAGCCUCCUGAGUAGCUGGGACUACAGGCACACAUCACCACACCUGGCUAAUUUUUGUAUUUUUUUUAGUAGAGACAGCGUUUUGUCAUAUUGGCCAGGCUGGUCUCGAACUCCUGAACUCAAGUGAUCCACCCUCCUCAGCCUCCCAAAGUGCUGGGUUCACAGGCGUGAGCCACCGCGCCCAGCCUACCCUUACCUCUUGGGGACGCCUCUGUGGCUGGACUUUGCUGUGAGAGCAGGGCCGCCCAUGUCCAUCUCUUCCCGUGCUGAGCCCUUGCACCUGACACGGGCCUGGAGCUGGCAUUCGGGGUUUAUGGAACAGCAUGAAUUUCUCCUUGACAUGAGUGUCGUAACCCCAAAUUCGAGAGACUUGGGAAGGUUAUGCUCAGCCAGCAAGUGACCGACCCAGGAUUUGAGGCCGUUUGGUUUCAAGGUUGGUGUUUUUACCGAAUGCCACGCUGUAUAUUCUGCUUCUGACACUAGUGUGCGUGCCACUUGAAACCACUUUUAUCUUUUUAAGAGUUUUGGGCCUUCUGCAAAAAUAAAAGGAACAAAUUGUCACAGAGCCCUCUGCUGGACGUCGGCAGCUGUGGCAUCCUGGCGUGGUGGUUUCCUCUGAGCACACCCGAGUACGCAGAGUCUGUUUUUGAUUCCUAUCUCGCUGGUGGUGGGCUCUCGGCCAACAGGCAGAUCAAAAGAUGGAAUGUGUUCAUUUGGCCAUUUUUUAAAAAACUGAGGUACAAGGGUGCACUUCUUAAAGACAAGGGCGCCGUGGGUUAGACUCCGUGGGUCUGAGCUGGUCUGGCUUUUGUGCUUUUUUUAAGGGUUCAUCUCAAGUUUCUUUUUCUGGUUGAACAAUUUUUUUCAACAUUAAUAACUAAUGGAGAAGAGGAAGAGGCAAAAGUAGAACCAUAUGGCGGCAUAAACACGAACCUCACUUGUGGCCGGAAACUUCUGAUUUGUAUCUCUUCGUGUGAUCAGCUGUUGGGUUGGGUGAUUUGAGAAAAAGAAAAAAAAAAAAAAAAAAAAGGGUUCAGUUUGGGCAAAAGCAAGAAUGUCUUUCGUUUCUUUUUCAACCUAACCGUGCUGGGUCUGCAUGUCCUUCCUCGGACAUUGGCCCCUAGCUGCGUGGCUCUGGUCAAGUUAUUUCUCUAAGGCCCUUUUUUCCCUUUCUUUAAAACAAGGACGGGAGCGCAUGUCUGCGUGGAGAGCAGUUUUCAGGAUCAUGGGGCAGGGCAGGGAGAGCGGCUAGCAUAGUGCCCACCUUGCAGGACAGGGCUGUUACGAUUACCUGGUCCUUCUACAGAUUAUUAUUCAGGUGUCACCUGAGGCCACUGCUAAUAGCGUCCUAGUCUCUCCCUUACCUUCUACCUUCUGGGGGUUUUUCUUCUCCCUGCCCUGGUUCACUUUACCCACUCCCUACCCAUCUUUCCAGUGGCCCCCGGGUACCGCUGAGCCCGGCGAAAGUCUCGGUGGUGAAGGACUUGCGGCUCCUGCUCCCCAGGGUGGGCACACUCCUGUGGCAGCAGAGGAAGUGGUGGAGCCCUGAACUCCCCGCCAGAAAGACGGCAGGCACCGUCCUGACCAGUGUAGUGUUUAUUAUUCCAAGUCACUGGGAAUUAUGUUUAAAUCCCCCCAACAGCCUGGAUUGGUCUGACACCUUUGGUGUUAUCUGAACGUCCCCCUCCAAGGCUGUCAGGCAGUUCAGAUGGGUGGUUUAGACAGAAACCAUCCGGCUGCUGCAUGUCGGCACCACUCCUCCUCCUCAGAGGCCCUCCCUGGCUUUGGAGGCGACAGAGCCGGUGCCACAUGCACCCCAAAGUGAACUCUCGGCUUUGUUUGGACCUGUCGUUUCAUUUAAAUCGCUGUACAAACCCAUGGCCCGUGACACUUAAUGUGAUUUCUUCCACUGCUCUAAGCACUCGACAUGAGUAGGGGGCGGGGGCCGGGGUUCAGAUGAGCGUAGGGACUGGUUAGAUUACCGAGAUACACUGUUUUUAUUCUGGUUCUGUAAUAUGACCUCAGACCACAGGAUUAAUAUCCACUUACAUAGAAUCAGCAUGCAUUGAACGAUCCCUGCUGCCGCGGGCGUGAUGCUGCGCUGAGACUGAAGGGCCUGUCUUGGCCUCUGUAGGUGUAGAGUCACUUCACAGUGAAAAAUGCUAAGUGGUGAGGAAGGAGUAAGGUGAAAGCCAUUGACAGUAUUAGAACAGCCAUCCUCAAAGCAUUUAGGAUUCAGUCAAUAUUAGUGUUACUGCAGGAAUUCUGAAGAAUUUGACAUCUUGAUAAAGAAGUUGGAGUUUGGGCCAGGCCCUGAAGGAUCAGUAAGAUUUAAGAGAGCAGUGGGGAUUGGCUGUCAGAUUUAGCAAAUAAAAAUACAUGACCUGGCCAGGC